AUGAACGCUGGCGGCGUGCCUAAUACAUGCAAGUCGAGCGAACGGACGAGAAGCUUGCUUCUCUGAUGUUAGCGGCGGACGGGUGAGUAACACGUGGAUAACCUACCUAUAAGACUGGGAUAACUUCGGGAAACCGUAGCUAAUACCGGAUAAUAUUUUGAACCGCAUGGUUCAAAAGUGAAAGACGGUCUUGCUGUCACUUAUAGAUGGAUCCGCGCUGCAUUAGCUAGUUGGUAAGGUAACGGCUUACCAAGGCAACGAUGCAUAGCCGACCUGAGAGGGUGAUCGGCCACACUGGAACUGAGACACGGUCCAGACUCCUACGGGAGGCAGCAGUAGGGAAUCUUCCGCAAUGGGCGAAAGCCUGACGGAGCAACGCCGCGUGAGUGAUGAAGGUCUUCGGAUCGUAAAACUCUGUUAUUAGGGAAGAACAUAUGUGUAAGUAACUGUGCACAUCUUGACGGUACCUAAUCAGAAAGCCACGGCUAACUACGUGCCAGCAGCCGCGGUAAUACGUAGGUGGCAAGCGUUAUCCGGAAUUAUUGGGCGUAAAGCGCGCGUAGGCGGUUUUUUAAGUCUGAUGUGAAAGCCCACGGCUCAACCGUGGAGGGUCAUUGGAAACUGGAAAACUUGAGUGCAGAAGAGGAAAGUGGAAUUCCAUGUGUAGCGGUGAAAUGCGCAGAGAUAUGGAGGAACACCAGUGGCGAAGGCGACUUUCUGGUCUGUAACUGACGCUGAUGUGCGAAAGCGUGGGGAUCAAACAGGAUUAGAUACCCUGGUAGUCCACGCCGUAAACGAUGAGUGCUAAGUGUUAGGGGGUUUCCGCCCCUUAGUGCUGCAGCUAACGCAUUAAGCACUCCGCCUGGGGAGUACGACCGCAAGGUUGAAACUCAAAGGAAUUGACGGGGACCCGCACAAGCGGUGGAGCAUGUGGUUUAAUUCGAAGCAACGCGAAGAACCUUACCAAAUCUUGACAUCCUUUGACAACUCUAGAGAUAGAGCCUUCCCCUUCGGGGGACAAAGUGACAGGUGGUGCAUGGUUGUCGUCAGCUCGUGUCGUGAGAUGUUGGGUUAAGUCCCGCAACGAGCGCAACCCUUAAGCUUAGUUGCCAUCAUUAAGUUGGGCACUCUAAGUUGACUGCCGGUGACAAACCGGAGGAAGGUGGGGAUGACGUCAAAUCAUCAUGCCCCUUAUGAUUUGGGCUACACACGUGCUACAAUGGACAAUACAAAGGGCAGCGAAACCGCGAGGUCAAGCAAAUCCCAUAAAGUUGUUCUCAGUUCGGAUUGUAGUCUGCAACUCGACUACAUGAAGCUGGAAUCGCUAGUAAUCGUAGAUCAGCAUGCUACGGUGAAUACGUUCCCGGGUCUUGUACACACCGCCCGUCACACCACGAGAGUUUGUAACACCCGAAGCCGGUGGAGUAACCUUUUAGGAGCUAGCCGUCGAAGGUGGGACAAAUGAUUGGGGUG
rnacentral:rRNA from 1 species